GAAGUGCCAUCGUCUUUGAUUUUCAUUGUAUACUCAAUCUUCAAUUUGCUAACACUUUGAAAUCUUACGUGCCAGGUAGUGGACAAGUGCAGUGGGUUGGAGGAAUAAGGGAUGUGGUGCCUUGUCGAUGAAAUAUUUUGAAGGGCGACUCCUGACCUCACUUGGUUUUGCAAUGGCUAGUUGUAUCUUCUAGAGUUUGCUGUUUUUAAUGUAAUCAAGGAAUUAAGAGAAGAUUAGACAUUUCGUAGACGAUGGAAGUCGACUGUUCCGGCUAUGGAGGAGGCAGUGGGUGUGCUUUACACUAGACGAAAUACAAUCAUGAAGGUGUUUGCGAUUCUUCGGUAAGUGGACAGUUUUAAUGGUUUCUUUUGGAUUUUUGUGAUGAACAACAGUUUCCUGUGUUUCUGACAACCAUGAAGACCCACUCGAGUCCCUGAUAAUUCAGGCUUUUUAAUAUCAUUUAAUUGGCUGUAAACAAAUAUUGACGAUUUGUUUACUUUGUUUAUUCAGGUUGGCUUGUUCAACAACCGCAGUCGAUUGUUGAGCUACUGGGCCGAAAACAAUCGAGUUUCAUUUUCUUUCGUUUCGAAUAGUUUGCUGCUGGUGAUUUCAUGAUCUACGUAAUAGGUUAUGUGGUACUGCUUCUUGGUCAAUGUCAUUGGAAUCCGAGGAGUUCAUAUUAUACAAGAUGGACUGGUUUAUUGUUCGGUGUUUUUUUUUUUGCCGACGUCAUCUUCAUAGGAUACUAGAUUGCUCGGCCGUUGGUCUUGGAUUACUUGGUCGGUGGGGCGAUUGGUGGGUCUGAUUACGGCCUAUUUGAAAGAUCGUUGGAGAUUUUGUGUAUUGACGUUUUCGUGAUAAAUGCCUGUUAUCGAGGUAUAUGCAUGUGCGACGCUGGAUUUAAUAGUGUCGUCCUAGGUAGUUCUGAGGUGUCAAUUUUCGAUCCGUUGCUUUAUGUCCGUGGGAUGGUAUGGAAUUUUGAAACUUGCUAAAAGGAUGUCGCAGUUUUGAAGGUGUUUGGAUUUGAAUCGUGUAAUAAAGUUUCGAUAUUAUGGACGAAAAAUUCAAUGAUAAUAUAGUGCGAGAUGCGAGGAAUAUUAGUGCUGUAUUCAAUACAACUGAACAAUGGAUAAAUUUGAAUGAUCUGUG